rnacentral:miRNA from 1 species
CACUCCAAAGGGCGCCAUUCA